UACGUAGGGGGCAAGCGUUGUCCGGAAUCAUUGGGCGUAAAGCGCGUGUAGGCGGCUCGGUAAGUCUGCUGUGAAAGUCCAGGGCUCAACCCUGGGAUGCCGGUGGAUACUGUCGAGCUCGAGUACGGAAGAGGCGAGUGGAAUUCCCGGUGUAGCGGUGAAAUGCGCAGAUAUCGGGAGGAACACCAAUGGCGAAGGCAGCUCGCUGGGACGUUACUGACGCUGAGACGCGAAAGCGUGGGGAGCAAACAGG
rnacentral:rRNA from 1 species